UGGAGAUGCCUGCUUUCUCCUGCUCUCCUGUUCUGCUGACUUGGAGAAUUGUGGCUGUAAUGAAUAUCUUGCCUGGGAUUGUGGAGGCUUCCCUGGGCUGCUCUGUAUUCAGCUGCAGCUCAACACAGGAACAACUGAAGAGAGAGAAUGACAUUCAGCAAAGGGCUGGGGGCCGGACUCAAACCUGGUCUUCUGCAGCAAGGACUCAGCUUUGUGCAUGGGGCGCACGCACUACCAGGGAGGAAACACAGAGGCAGUGGAGAAAAACAGGUGAAGGAAAACAUAGAGAAACAUGUCACCUCUUCAAAACAACAAAAAUCGAUGUGACACAGUGGAAAACAACUGAACUGGAGGAGGAGGAAGGUUUCGGUCAACUGGCUUCUCAUCACAGAGCUCUGCCUUCAUCACCAUUCCUUCACACCCACACAUGCCGAGUUACAGACACACACACACACACACACACACACACACACACACACACACACACACACACACACACACACACACACACAUAACGAGAAUAUCGUCUCCUCGUCCCCAUGUGGUUCUCUACUACACAACCAGAGAUAGCUGAACUGAAUACUGAGCUGCUUAUUGGAGCAUGACUACACACCAAAGGACCCACAGCUAAAUAUCACCCAGAUGAACAGCCAUUUCCCCACAGCAAUAGCUAAUUGAACACAGUACACUGCAUCUCAAAGGCUGUGUUGGGGCCUAUUGAAAUGGUGCAGGUUGAUAUUUCUUUCAAAAGGGACUCUCAAAAACGGAGUAUCCACAGCUGCUGUCUGCGUUAAGUGGCCUGAGUGGCCCUAAUUUCCUGCAGUGUAACAAAGACUGGAUUAAAUGCUGCUGGAUAGUCACUUAGGAGCCAGGGAGAGGGUAUGAUUUUGAUAGAUGAUCCUGCAGAGUCAGAUCACAAGGAUACACAGUAUUAGUAGUAAAAUGACGAUAUUUGGAAAGCAUUUGUUUCCUAAAUAUGUGUGACAGGUUUUACAGAUUGUAGCUUUUAAAAUGUAGUUGAAAGACAUUGUGAGGUUUUUGACAUCUGCUGGUCACCAGGGGCAAUGUCCUGUAACAAAUAAAAAGUAAAAUUUUCACAGUAUGUAAGCUAUCCAACAGAAAUUAAACAUAUUGUGGAAAAAAAGUGACAAAUCAUGACACAAAAGAGGUGGUGGAGCAUAGUUAGGAGCAUAAUUAUGUACAGCAGACAUGGAUAAGUUAGACACUGAUACAUUUUUAAAAUGUAAAAUACCCUAAUUUCCAGAACCCCCCCCAUCUGUCUCAUAUUCACUCAUAAUAGUCUCUUUUGUUUACAUAAGACCACCUGUUUCUCCAGGUCUAAUGUACCAGAGAUGCUGCUUUCAUUCAGGGCACAUGUAAAAGGAGGACAAAAUAAAAGGAAUACCUAUUUUCCAAUACAAGACCACCCAUCACUGUCUUAA